rnacentral:lncRNA from 1 species
AAAUUCGAAUGGGAUCAAGGCGGAAAUCGGGCAUGAAGUAGAUGCUAUGUAAAUUGCAAACAUGACAACUCUUAGAUUUGAUCUUCGUUGAUAAAAAGGCCAUAACUCUCACAUCCGAACUCCGAUUGGGAUGAUUCAAGAUGUUCCGGAAAGCUAAGAAGUAGAGCUACCAUAAAAUCCAAGUUCCAAGCCAAGAACAUUCAUCCAACUUGAUGUUAAAAGUCCUUCAAUAUUCCCUUCUUGCAUUUGUUUGCGUAUUUUAGUCCAAAAGAUGUCCGAAUUGCUUUCCCUUGCUUCUUAAUGCCAAUGUUGUGUCAUCGCCUACAAAAUAACAUAGAAUGUAUGAAAAGUAACUAAGAAACAUGAAUAGAAGCAACUAAUUCAAGUAACAGAUACCGGAUAAGUAGAUAUAAAACCUACUUAUCACUAACCUUCUCUCCAAGCUUGAGGUUGAGAAUGAGAUCUUAAAACAGACAAAUAAACUCAAUACACAAAGAGUCUAAUCAAACCUCAAAAAUUGAGGAACUAGAAAAGACUAUCUCUACAUGGAACAAAUCUGCAUCAUCCAUGGACUCCCUACUCUCUAGUCAAAGAAGUACAUUCGACAGAAAAGGCUUAGGCUUUGGGGAAUCUAUCUCAGAGCCAUGUGUGAAAAAGACAAAGAAAACUAGCACUAGUAAUGCCUCAAGUUUUAGUAGAAGCAUUACCUUUGUAAAAUCCUCACAGAAGGAAGAACCAGUUCAACCCUGUUCUACUGUUUCCAUUCAUACUCAAAGGAGUAAAGGAUUUCAUGCUGGUCUGGGCUUCAUAAAAGAGAAGAGUAACCUAAUCACUACUCACCAACCUUGAAGAAUCGUAGAGUCAAGUAAGACCAACUCUACGAAUCAACUAGGAAGGUAUAGUAGAGGUAAGGCACACUCAUCACUAUUUAUGAAACCUAAGGACACGUGGAAGAAUAAGAAUCAGUUUAACAGAAGGAUAACUAAAGAACCACACAAGUCCAAAUGGAGGAUGAAUUAUCAUACACACACAGGCAUGCAUCAUACUAGAUGUUUUAUAUGCGAUAAAUUUGGUCACAAGGCUGCCAAGUGCUAUUAUAAUUCCAUGCAUAUGAGACCCAAGAUCAAACAAAUUUGGGUCCCCAAGGGCACUAACAAAAUAGGACCCAUGCAAAUAUGGGUACCAAAAUGAAGGUUAAACUUUAUGACAGGAAAAGAGCUCCACGAGCACAACCUGGUAUCUGGACAGUGGAUGCUCAAGGCACAUGACAGGGAACAAAGCCCUUCUAUCUAACUACAUAGAAAAGGAGGGUCCCUCAAUCAUCUUUGGAGACAACGGCUCGGGCAAGACAAGAGGAUACGGCUCUGCUGGCAAUGGUGCAGUAUCUUUCAGCAAAGUAGCAUAUUUGGAAGGUCUCCAACACAACCUUCUAAGCAUCAGCCAACUCUGCGACAAGGGCCACCAAGUAACAUUCCUCAACAACCAGUGUCAAGUCAGAGAUCUGAAGACUUCUGCUGUAAAGCUAACCGGGACAAGAGAAGGAAAUGUCUACACAGUGAAUCUUGGUCAACUAAGCUCAGACGAGACAAUAUGUUUUCUGGCAAAAGCAUCUGAAGAAAUGAGCUGGCUAUGACAUAGACGGUUGUCCCACUUAAACUUCAAAAGCAUGUCUAAACUGGCAUCAAAAGAUCUCGUUGCUAGCCUACCUAAGUUCAACUUCGUAAAAGAAAGGUCAUGCAAUGCCUGUCAGCUUGGAAAGCAAACUAGAAGCUCAUUCAAGAGCAAAACUGCCAACUCUAUCGACAAGCCCCUGCAGUUGCUCCACAUAGAUCUAUUUGGGCCAAUUCCAACAACUAGUCCUGGAGGAAAAAGAUACUCUCCAGUUAUAGUCGACGACUACACCAGAUUCACAUGGGUAUUCUUCAUAACCUCAAAGGAUGAAACGAGCUCCCAAUUAGUCAAGAUGUUCAGACUGGUGAUGAACGAGAAAGGAGAGAAAAUCAAGGCCAUAAGGAGUGAUCAUGGAAGAGAAUUCGACUUCUCAGAAAUGGACCAGUUCUGCACAGAUAAUGGCAUCAGUCAUAACUUCUCAGCUCUACGAACUCCUCAACAAAAUGGAGUAGCUGAAAGAAAGAACAGAACCUUGACAGAGUCUGGAAGAACUCUACUAGCAGCAGCUCAUCUGCCUGAAUACUUCUGGGCAGAAGCUGUCAACAUUGCAUGCUACACGUAAUUUAUAGCAUUGAUACACUCUACGAUCAAGAAGACACCCUACGAACUAUGGAAAGGAAGAAAGCCAAGUGUCAGCUACUUUCAUGUUUUCGGCUGUGCAUGCUACAUUCUCAACAAUGGAAAGCAAUACUUGAAAAAAAUUCAGCCCAAGUCAGACGAAUGAAUCUUUCUUGGAUAUGCCACAGACAGUAAGGCCUACAGGGUGUUCAACAAGAAGACACUGAAUGUUGAAGUCUCGAUUCACAUCAUCUUAGAUGAAACAGACCUAGACAAAACAAUGCUUCAAGACACUACGACCGAUAGUGCAGACACUACGAAUGAAGUCGUCUAGCUCAACACCACGAUCGUAGUGCCAGAAAGUGAAAUCAUUGAGCAAGAAAAUGAGAUCGUAGAGAGGUCUAUGCAAGACAACGAACCUCCACUUCAAGAAGAAGAAAUAGAUCUUGAAGAAUUAAGACAAGAAGGCAUCAGGACAGAUGUCCCAACCGAAAACAGAUGGGCCAGAGAUCAUACUCAAGAUCUAAUCAUUGGAGAUCCGAGUGCUAGAGUCAAAACAAGAGCUGCCACCCAGAAUGAAUGCUUUUAUCUAAGCUUCCUAUCACAAAUGGAACCAAAGAAGAUAGAGGAUGCUAUGGAAGACUCCAGUUGGAUAGAAGCCAUGCAGGAAGAACUCAACCAAUUUGAACGAAGUAAAGUAUGGAGAUUGGUACCAAGACCAAAGAGUCAUCCUGUCAUUGGAACCAAGUGGGUCUUCAGAAACAAAAUGGAUGAAGAUGGAGUUAUAACCAGGAACAAGGCAAGACUAGUGGCAAAGGGCUACUCUCAAGAAGAAGGCAUUGACUACGAUGAGACAUUUGCACUUGUUGCCAGACUAGAAGUCAUCAGAAUCUUCCUUGCCUUUGCUACUCACAUGAAGUUCAAAGUCUUUCAGAUGGAUGUCAAAAGUGCAUUCCUAAAUGGAGAACUCCAAGAAGAAGUCUAUGUAGAGCAACCUCCAGGUUUCAUCAAUCAGUCUCUUUCCAAUUAUGUUUAUAGAUUAGAUAAAGCCUUAUAUGAUCUUAAACAAGCAUCUAGAGCAUGGUAUGAAACACUAACUAACUUCUUGAUUGAAAAUGGGUUCACUAGAGGUAGAGUAGAUACCACAUUAUUUCUUAGAAAGCAUAAAGACAAAGUCUUAUUAGUUCAAAUAUAUGUUGAUGAUAUUAUUUUUGGUUCUAUUGAUGAAAAGUUAUGCAAGAGAUUCUCCAAGCUAAUGCAGAGCAAGUUUGAAAUGAGCAUGAUGGGUGAGCUGAAUUUCUUCCUUGGAUUGCAAGUAAAGCAGACUGAUGAAAGAAUCUUCAUAAACCAAGCCAAGUACAUCAAAGACCUACUCAAGAAGUAUGGCAUGGAAUCAGCCUUUCGCAUGAAAACCCCAAUUGCUUCUGCAACCAAACUUGACAAAGAUGAAAAAGGUAAAAGUAUUGAUAUAACUCAAUACAGAGGUAUGAUAGGCUCUCUUUUAUAUCUAACUACCAGUAGACCAGACAUAAUGUUUGUAACAUGCAUAUGUGCUAGAUUUCAGGCUAACCCUAAAGAAUCUCAUUUAUCUGCUGUAAAGAGGAUUUUCAGGUAUCUCAAGGGUACACCUUACUUGGGGCUUUGGUACCCCAAGGAAUCCUCAUUUGAACUAACAGGAUACACAGAUGCUGAUUUUGUAGGCUGCAAAAUAGAUAGAAAGAGUACAAGUGGCACCUGUCAAUUGCUAGGAAACAGACUUGUGUCCUGGUUUAGCAAAAAACAAAACUCAGUGUUUACUUCAACUGCAGAAGCUGAAUACAUUGUUGUUGGCAGCUGCUGUGCUCAGAUCCUAUGGAUGAAAAAUCAGCUAGCUGAUUAUGGGUUUGAUUUCAAAUCCAUUCCCAUUCAUUGUGAUAACACAAGUGACAUAGCAAUAACUCAUAAUCCUGUUAUGCAUUCAAGGACUAAGCAUAUAGAAAUAAGGUAUCACUUCAUUAGGGAUCAUGUGCAAAAUGGAACUAUAUCUUUACAAUAUAUUCCUACUGAAAAUCAACUUGCUGAUGUUUUUACAAAACCUCUAGAUGAAUCCAGAUUUAAUAAGUUAAUAAGUGAACUAGGCAUGUUAAAUUUACAACCAUAAAAUAUAUGCUCUAGUUUGUGCUAACCAUAACAGACACAAAAUGCUAAGCUCAAAGUCGUAGACAUGAUCAAGGGAAGUCCACGAUCGUAGAACUAAAGUGACAUGAAAGAAAACGAUCGUAGUGCAGACUCAAUGAUAGCAAAACCUCAAACAUCAAGAGGAGGAUUAUGUGAUGAUAAGUCUCAAAAAAAAAAAGCAAUCUCUCUGAUAAGCGCCUCAGGAACAAACCUAACCCUUGACUCACUCCAAGAGGUUGGCCCUUCCUGAGUUACCUUAAAAGAAUGCUAUGUCAAAAACUCAUCACAAGGAUCCGGUCAGACUCGACGAUCGUAGUUCAGACACGACGAUUGAUAGACAGACUCGAUGAUCAUAGCUCAAACACAAUGAUUGCUAGACAGACUCGACGAUCGUAGCUUAGACACGACGAUUGCUAGACAGACUCGACGAUCGUAGCUCAGACAGAACGAUCACAAAACUACCUCAACGAUCGUAGUCCUCCCUAAGGACACAUCAGCUCUGCAGGAGCCAAGGACAAAUCAGUACAAUCCUUAUCAGUCAAACUCGUAGAGCCAAGCAAAAGUCGACACCUGUCCCACUAAGCAAAAAGGAGAGAGGGAAGUUACAAGUACAAAAUUGAAAUCGUCUUUUUGAAAUCAGAAGUUCAAAAGAUUAUCUCUCUCAUCCUCUCUCAAAGCAGAAACCCUAAAUCAAAAGAAAGCUCAGUCAAAUCACACUUCUAGCAAGAAAAUCAAUGGCGGCUUCCAGUGUUAUCUUCGGCUACAGACUCUAUUUUGACGAGUUCAAAACAGCUGAACCCAAAUUCUACAAGACUCUGGCGCUACUGAAGAAGGCGGGUCUCGAAGAAGCCUUGGGCACAGACACAUUGAUCUAUCCCAAGCUAGUGAAAGAAUUCUACAAGAAUGGUGUUUGAAUACAACACCAUCACUACGAGAGUAAAGGAAGUGGAAAUCAGACUGAAGGCCGAAGACAUCAACCUUGCCCUAGGUCUCAAAAAUGAAUGGUAUCCAGUCAUAGAUAUCGUAGACUUCCAAGAGGGACUUUGUGACGCCCCCAAAUUCGGGUACUUGAAACCCUCAUUCAGUGCUUCACGAUAUCCAACAUUCAACAUAAUAUAAAUUAAACUUUAUAACGUUAUUACAUCAAAAUUAUUCUAACCCCAGAUACGUAGACCUUUAAGUGUUCAUUACAUGAUAGUUUAAUAUUUACAAACAUGUAAACUAUCUAUUACAACGACUCUCAGCUAUUUUGUUAUUUUUCCUUUUCCCUUAUCCUUUCCAGACCCUUCUGCUCUAGUCUACUCAGCUGAAAACAUUUAUAAUAAAACAAGUAUGAGCAUUUAAUUGCUCAGCAAGUAAUAACAUUCUUUAAGGCUCAAUAAGAAAUAAAUGUUUUCUUUAAAGCAUACUUUGACAGUGAAUCAAAACUGUAAAGCAUUAAAUCUUGAAUCAUUCUCAUUUUGUUGAAUAUUAUACAAUAUUGAAUAACUGAGAGGUUUUAAGACCAUGAACAUAUUUUUCUUUUCUUGAAAAGGUUCAAUCAGAAAUUUAAUCUGUGAACCGUCUUAUCUUACGAGCACGUAGGGUGAUCAACCCUUUAUGCCCUGUAUUGAUCAAUACUAUCUUAUCUAGAACAAUUUCCAUGUUCUACAUCAUCACUCCCAGAGUGCAAUAAAAAUAUCCUAUUUAAGGGUAUGUCCAUUCUCUGUUUUAGAUUCCAACUACAACAAUAUAGCUGGAUAGCUUAAAUCAUGGCAUAAUAAUAUUUCAAGACUUAAUAUAAAGAAAUUGAAAUAUUUUACAUCUGUGUCUGGCCCGAAAGAAUGGCUCAGACUUCUUUGCGACCUGCUCAUGCAUAUUAAAUUUUAUUUGGUAUACAUGAUAAUACAUUACCCAAUCUUUUGAAGCUGAUUGGAAUAAAAAGGUUAUUCAACCUUAUAAUAUUCAUAAAUAAGGAAAGACAGUUCAGAAUUUAAAGAACCUGCCAAUAUAUGAAUAAUUUUAGAAUACUUGCUUAAUAAAGAGUAAGAUUUAGAUACUUGCCUUGUUUGUAGACUAUUUGUACAAUUUCAGCUUAACUUAUGUAUUCUCACAGAUCCUACACAAUUAGUUGCAUUUACAAGCAUAUUAGCCAAAUGGACAAGUCAUAUAGCUUGUAUGUUCACAUAUCACAUAAUCACAGUGAUCAUGUUUUUAGUUUAUAUUCUCAUACGUGAGAUAUUUAUUUACAUUUUUCAAAUAUCUCAAUCAUGUUCUUACAAUAGCCUUUUUCUUUCUUUUAUGGGUCUAAUAUAAUUUCUGUUCAUUGAGUUUAGUUCAUAUUUCUUUUACUUCCUUCAUUUGUCAGAAGUAUACUUUGCAAUUUUCCUUAUAUUUAGGUAUUCAAGGUGAAUACCUAAGGUAUUUCAUGUAUUAGGUAUGAUUGUUUAUCAAAAAGGUAGAACUUGUAGUUCCCAAUUUGCUUUGCAAAUUAUAUUGCCAAACUAUUUGUUUAAACUUAUUGCGUUUCUUAGUUAUGUCAAAACAGCCCUCCUUAGCCAAAUCUAUCUUGCAGCCUUUUUUGUUGCUCCCACAAUUCUUUUGUAUAAUUUAAUUUGGUUUAGUAACCUCUUACCAUUUUACUACACAGACUAAAUUUUCCUUUUGUUUUCUCUAUUUAGCUAAGUGAGUCUAGUAGCUCACUUAAAUAAACUAACAGACUCUUAGCAUUUCUUUUUCUUCAUGAUAUUAGUCAAUUAUAUUUGACUUUGUGGGAUUUUAGUGUGGCUUCACAUUGCAUUAGUGGUCAGCUAAUAAUUAUUUCUGCAAAUGUGCAGCAGUUCCAAUAUAAGUCGAGCUGCUCCAAAACUGUCACAGCAGUUACCUAACGUUAUACAUCACGUUUUCCGUGAGUUACAAAAUAGAACCACCUGGCUUCUUUUUACUACUGUUAGUAGCUUAAUAAUGCCUGUACUUGCUGCUGUUAUUAGCAUUUUGUUUUAAUCUGUUAGCAUUAUGUUAUGGAAUAUUACAUAGUUUAUAUGUAUAUCUUAAUUAUAAAGAGGCACAAGUUGGCUAUCUUAGAAAUUUAACUACACCAAGUAAGAGUUCAAUAAAGGACUCCCCACCCGGGACUGUACUCAGCCACUGCUGCUGCCACGGGCAGCAGCUCUGUUCUUAAUUAAUGCCAUUUUUUUACUUUCUAUUGGUAAGUUAUUUACACCCUUUAUUAGAGAGGUAAAAUAGUGCACCCAUCCUUCAAAUAACUUGCAAAUUACAGUCAUUACCUUUAGUAUGCAAACCAAAUUGGUGCCACACUGGCUGACUGGCUUUGCAGCACAGCGAAGCACAGCGCUGGGCGCUAGCUACUGCUGCCUGCAGCAGCCCCAGCCAGCCCAAACCUCCCCAGGCCCUUCUUUUGAUUGCUACAUUUCCUUUGUUACACUUGCUAUUUCUUUUCUUUUUAUUGCACCAAAGUUCCAGUAGAUUUUAGAUGUGAUAGCAACCAAAUAAUAAAACAUACUAAGUUCUCAAAUUCAACAUCUUAAGCUGCCCAAAACAGUUUGCCAACAUAGGUUGUCAUACCAAAAUCCCCUUUUUUGUCUUAGCUUAAAAAAAAUAGUUUUCAUUCCAUUUAACAAGGUACAACACUUUACUUACCCUCAAGCAUGACAUAUAUAUAUUACCCAUGCUUUAAUUCUACCGAAUAAACAAUUAUUAAGCAAAACAGUUCAUUGAUGAAUUUUAUCAAACACUUUACAGGCACUGUUUUGCAACACCCAUGUCUUAGCUAUUUAUUUUCUUUAAACUCCCGAUUAACUCCCUUAUUACUCCACAACCACUUAUCUCCUUAUUCCUAAAUUCAGUCUAUAACAAUAAAACUCAACCAAAAUCAUAUAUAUUCAAUGAAUUAGCAACUAAUUAGUUUAUGCUAAUAUUAUACUAUCACACUAGAUUCAAAUUGUUGCAAUAUAAACUGAACAAAUAUUUCAAACAUAACACCACUAUAUAAUAUCUCCUAGAUUUCACUCCGGUUUAAACAAACCAAUUGACUACCUUCAAUUUUAACAGAAAAGAUAAGAGGAAGAAUUAAAAGUACAAUUAUUAAAUUCAUACCUCCCGCUUGAUAUGUUCCCACUCAACUCACAACUCCCAGCUACAGUAAUUCUUCUUCCUGAAUAACCCCAAACUUGGGUAUUCUCCCAGCUCGUAAAAAUUACAGAGUUUCAAUAUUUUCCUAUCACUUCUGUGUGGCUUAAGAAAGAAACUGAUCGAUACAACGUGAAGCUCUGUUUUAUAAGAAGUCUGGCUUUGCUAAACACGUUAUAGGCGAACUGAGUUGUAGAGCUAAGUUAAUAUAUAAUUGCCAACACCUGCUAAACUAAUAGAUCA